rnacentral:rRNA from 1 species
AGAGUUUGAUCCUGGCUCAGGAUGACCUUUAGCGGCAGGCUUAACACAUGCAAGUCGAGGGGCAGCGGGGAGGAAGCUUGCUUUCUCCGCCGGCGACCGGCGCACGGGUGAGUAACACGUAUGCAACCUGCCCCUGUCAGGGGGACAACCCGCCGAAAGGCGGGCUAAACCCGCGUACAUGCCACCGGGGCAUCCCGGAGGCAGGAAAGGCUUCGGCCGGACAGGGAUGGGCAUGCGGCGCAUUAGGCAGUAGGCGGGGUAACGGCCCACCUAACCGACGAUGCGUAGGGGUUCUGUGAGGAAGGUCCCCCACACUGGUGCUGAGACACGGACCAGACUCCUACGGGAGGCAGCAGUGAGGAAUAUUGGUCAAUGGCCGAGAGGCUGAACCAGCCAAGUCGCGUGAGGGAAGACGGCCCUACGGGUUGUAAACCUCUUUUGUCGGGGAGCAAAGCGAACCACGUGUGGUUCAUUGAGAGUACCCGAAGAAAAAGCAUCGGCUAACUCCGUGCCAGCAGCCGCGGUAAUACGGAGGAUGCGAGCGUUAUCCGGAUUUAUUGGGUUUAAAGGGUGCGCAGGCGGUCUGUUAAGUCAGCGGUCAAAGCCCGGGGCUCAACCCCGGCCCGCCGUUGAAACUGGCAGUCUCGAGUUGGAGAGAAGUAUGCGGAAUGCGCGGUGUAGCGGUGAAAUGCAUAGAUAUCGCGCAGAACUCCGAUUGCGAAGGCAGCAUGCCGGCUCCACACUGACGCUGAGGCACGAAAGCGUGGGUAUCGAACAGGAUUAGAUACCCUGGUAGUCCACGCAGUAAACGAUGAAUGCUGCUGUUCCGGGGGGGACUGACCCCUGGGGGGGAGAAGCGAAAGCGAUAAGCAUUCCACCUGGGGAGUACGCCGGCAACGGUGAAACUCAAAAGGAAUUGACGGGGGCCCGCACAAGCGGAGGAACAUGUGGUUUAAUUCGAUGAUACGCGAGGAACCUUACCCGGGCUCAAACGGGGAGUGGCGCAGGCAGAGACGCCUGUUUCCCACGGGACACUCCCCGAGGUGCUGCAUGGUUGUCGUCAGCUCGUGCCGUGAGGUGUCGGCUUAAGUGCCAUAACGAGCGCAACCCCCGCGUGCAGUUGCUAACAGUCAACGCUGAGGACUCUGCACGGACUGCCGGCGCAAGCCGCGAGGAAGGCGGGGAUGACGUCAAAUCAGCACGGCCCUUACGUCCGGGGCGACACACGUGUUACAAUGGGUGGUACAGCGGGAAGCCAGGCGGCGACGCCGAGCGGAACCCGAAAUCCACUCUCAGUUCGGAUCGGAGUCUGCAACCCGACUCCGUGAAGCUGGAUUCGCUAGUAAUCGCGCAUCAGCCAUGGCGCGGUGAAUACGUUCCCGGGCCUUGCACUCACCGCCCGUCA